rnacentral:lncRNA from 1 species
AGUGUCGAGCCGAAAAAUUCAGCUCGUGUUCGGCUCAUUAAUAAACGAGCCGAACACGAGCUGGCUCACGAGCUGGCCAACGAACAAUAAAUUAAAAAGAAUUAGAUUUAAUAUAUAUAUAUAAAUAAAUUUAUAAAAUUUUAUCCAUUAGACUUUAAUCUAAUAGUUUAAACUUUACAUAUAAAUGAGUUUUUUUAUAAUUAAGCUCACAUUUAUAUUUUUAUUUUAUAAAAAUUAAAUAAUAAAAUAUAUAUUAUAUAUAUAAUUAUUUAUUUAUAUAUAAAAAUAUAUAUUAAAUAAAUUAUAUAAAUAUAAAAUAUAUGUAUUCGAGCUGUUAUCGAGCCGAACACGAGCAAGCUGACCUCAGCUUGUGUUCGGCUCGUUCAAUAAACGAGCCAAAAAAUUCAGCUCGUGUUCGGCUCGUUUACUAAACGAGCGAUUUGAUCUCGAGCUCAUUUCGAGCCGAACACGAGCUGGCUCGCGAACAGCGAGCUGGGUUGUCACCCCUACAUGCAGUUACACAACUGAGUAAAGAUUUUAUUCGUUUACCACGAUCUAUUAUCCCACCAAAAAUCAGAAACAAUUCAAAAUUUUUUCCUUAUUUUA